rnacentral:rRNA from 1 species
UACGUAGGGGGCAAGCGUUGUCCGGAAUUAUUGGGCGUAAAGCGCGUGUAGGCGGCCAGAUAAGUCCGCUGUGAAAUCUCGAGGCUCAACUUCGAGCUGUCGGUGGAAACUGUCUGGCUAGAGUCCGGAAGAGGAGAAUGGAAUUCCUGGUGUAGCGGUGAAAUGCGCAGAUAUCAGGAAGAACACCCGUGGCGAAGGCGGUUCUCUGGGACGGUACUGACGCUGAGACGCGAAAAGCGUGGGGAGCGAACAGG